rnacentral:lncRNA from 1 species
CCAGCUGCAACCAAACGGUAUGCACAUAAUCCAGGCUAGGGUAGCCACAUGUUCCCUCCAGGACUUGGACCCUUGACUUGCAGUGCCUCGGAGAGGUGGCGCUGGCUAGCCUGGGACUUCCAACAUACAGCCUACAUUGAUGGCCUGAGACUUGUGGCAAAAAAGACUUUCAAAAUCUAAUUUGCUCACAUACAUGAACACCUGCCAGGAAGGAAUUUGAGGCCUUUGUUCUAAACAUGGAAAAGCUGAGUUCAUUUGCCCCAGAGGGGGCACCUGCAGGGAAAAGGAAAAAUGGUUUUAACCCUUUCCUUGAGUCAGAAAAUGAGGCCACCAGAUUCUCCUUUCAUCCUUCAAGUAUCAGAAAGGUCUGUGCUGUGAAUUCCACAGAUGAGAUUCAUUGCAAGAUGUGAGGGCAGAGGAAAUCCAUGGAAAUGAAAUCCACAUUCAAACUGGAUGCAUGCGUUCAGCAACUGGAAGCUGAGUUCAUAUUUCAUUGCCCAACUACCCUGACCACUUGGGAAUCGCAGGUUUGGAAGGACCCACAGCCAUUCUGUGGAAAUGGAUCUGCUUUCAGGACCGAAUCUCAGACUUCUUGGGGAAGGUUUCAGUGGCUGCCUUUGCUGUGCAGACCUGGAGAUGGGUCUGAUGAUCGGACACCUGAAUUAUCUGUGUGGCUGAGUUUCAAGAAGACCUGCUGGGGUGAAAUGAAAAUGGUGCCUACUAGAAGCCCCAGUGGCUUUGCUGGUGGAGGCUAGCUUGCUCAUGUCCUCAUACAGAAGCAGAGAUGCAAGCAAGUGAGAAGGUGGAAGGACUCAGGUCUUGGGCCUUACUCUGAGAACUAUAACACCAUUCCUUCUGCUGCAUUCUCUUGUCUAAAUGACAUGGAUGAAGCUGGAAGCCAUCAUUCUCAGC